UAGGGAAUCUUCCGCAAUGGGCGAAAGCCUGACGGAGCAACGCCGCGUGAGUGAUGAAGGUCUUCGGAUUGUAAAACUCUGUUAUUAGGGAAGAACAAACGUGUAAGUAACUGUGCACGUCUUGACGGUACCUAAUCAGAAAGCCACGGCUAACUACGUGCCAGCAGCCGCGGUAAUACGUAGGUGGCAAGCGUUAUCCGGAAUUAUUGGGCGUAAAGCGCGCGUAGGCGGUUUUUUAAGUCUGAUGUGAAAGCCCACGGCUCAACCGUGGAGGGUCAUUGGAAACUGGAAAACUUGAGUGCAGAAGAGGAAAGUGGAAUUCCAUGUGUAGCGGUGAAAUGCGCAGAGAUAUGGAGGAACACCAGUGGCGAAGGCGACUUUCUGGUCUGUAACUGACGCUGAUGUGCGAAAGCGUGGGGAGCAAACA
rnacentral:rRNA from 1 species